GGCGCUCCGCUCCCGAUCCCCAACCUCUCGUCUCUCUCCAUCGAGAACCCUGGGUAGGUCGCCGCCGCCUCCCACGCCCACCUCUCCUAUCCCAGUCUAGGGUGAAACAUAGGUGCUUCUCAGUUGGGUAUCGUCCGAGAGAAAGGCGAAUAAGGCGAGGCGCUCCUGGCGGCGUGGGAAGGGAGUUGAAGCCGGAGUCGCCGAUGGCGAGGGCCGCCGUGAGGGAGGAAGGGGUGGUUGGGGCGGUGGUAGAGUCACGCGAAUGCCGUCCUUCCUUGCUGCAAAGGCGGCCGGCGUGCAGCUCCUUGCACCCUGUCCUCCUCAUCACUGCACUCCCGUAGGCGUGAUUGAUGGCAACCUCCCGGUUCACCUCCACUUGCUACACAGCUGACUGACAUUCGCUUUGUUCAGGACGCGAAUUAGACAUGGCAACUUCAACUAUAACCUUCAUUUCCUUGUAUCGGAGAUGGCGGUUUGACCCCUGGGGAUCUGGGCUAUGGUUAUUUGAUGAAAUUCCAACCAUGGUGAUGUGCAAAUUCAUGUCAGUUCUUAUAAGAAGAAUAAAUGGCAUCCAUCUUGGUCUCAGUGGCUCUAAAGAAGACAUGAUAAGAAACUGAACUGGUGGGGAUGCUUGAAUUGAUGGACUGAAGGUCCUCUGCAGGCCUAUAUAUAAAUCAGAGUAACACUUUUACAGUUGAUUUGAUGCAAUUGAAAUCAUGGAUCUUUAUAUGCUCAUCACACUGUCAGUAGUUGGCCAUAAAUUAGUGGUUUCAGUUCAUCCAUCUAGCUGAUGGUUAUGUGCUCGGUCUCUCUGAAUUUAUCAUGAUCAAACUUCAAUGUGCGUAUUUAAACUACCUUUUUGCCUUAGUGGACUUCUAGUGUGCAGAUGAAUGCAACUUGUUAUGCUGCAGGCCUCCACCAUGAUGGUCAGGUCCACCACUAAGAGCACACUUGACAAGCUAUGGGCCAAGAGGAUGAGGAAAACAGGAUCUGGAUGGGUACCAUAACAGGUUCAAGGAUCUGGUCGCCAAGGGCGGCUGCUCGCCUAAUAGAUGCAAGGCUGGAAGCCCCCCGAGCGACCGUAGCAAUGAUGGGGGCAUGAAUGACCAUGUUUGGAUCGCUGAUGAUAAUCGGAAUGAUGAGUUUGACGAAUCACCAAGUAUACUUGAUCCUCUCAUGUUUGAUGAUGUGAACAGCAUAACCCUUCAGAGGUACAAGCUGGUGAAAUGGUUCAUCGAACCCCAUUUUUGAGGACCACGUAUCUGGUUGCUUUGUGCGACUUAGGGUUGGCAAGAUAAAAUCAGGCACCCCCAAGUACAUGCUGUGUAUAGUUAGAAACAUGGAUGCCGGUGACCCAAAGCGGCCGUACAAGCUGGAGAGUUACAAAACAUGCAGGUAUCUCAAUGUUUUAUGGGAUAAUGAAGCUAAUGCUGCUCAAUGGCAGAUGACUCAGGUCUCUUAACUCUCCAGCCCUUGAAGAGUUCAAGGAGUGGCUUCAAGAGGCUGAAAAGAAUGGUGUGUGCAUACCAACCCGGCAAGAAGUGCAGGAGAAGAAAGAAGCCAUUAUAAAGACCUGCAACCUUUUGUAUUCAGUGUCUACUGUAAAGCAAAUGCUGUGAGAGAAGAUAUCAGUUGUGAGACGUCCUAUGAAUGUUGCUGCUGAGAAGGAUAGGUUGAGGGAUCAGUUGGAUAUGGCCCUGGUCCUCAGGGAUGAUGAAAUGGCGCCAGAGAGUUUCCAUUUUAAUGCUAAACACUGACUGCGAGUCAUCUAUCUGCCAGUUUUGUUACCUUA